UACGGGGGGGAGCAAGCGUUGUUCGGAUUUACUGGGCGUAAAGGGCGCGUAGGCGGCCUGUGCAAGUCAGUUGUGAAAUCUCCGAGCUUAACUCGGAACGGUCAACUGAUACUGCUCGGCUAGAGUGCGGAAGGGGCAACUGGAAUUCUUGGUGUAGCGGUGAAAUGCGCAGAUAUCAGGAAGAACACCCGUGGCGAAGGCGGCUCUCUGGGCCUUACCUGACGCUGAGGAGCGAAAAGCGUGGGGAGGCGAACAGG
rnacentral:rRNA from 1 species